AGUGAACGCUGGCGGCAUGCCUAACACAUGCAAGUCGAACGGCAGCACAGUAAGAGCUUGCUCCUACGGUUGGCGACUGGCGGAUGGGUGAGGAGUACAUCGCCAUCCACUUCUUCGUGGGGGAUAACGUAGGGAAAUUUACGCUAAUAGCGCAUAUUUUCUACGGGUGGGUGCAGAGGUUCUUUGGGUGUUGCGUGAGCGAAUGAGCUGAUGGCGGAUUGGCUAGUUGGCGGGGUAACGGCCCAGCAAGGCGACGAUGCCUUGCGGGUCUGAGCGGGUGAACAGCCACACAGGAGCUGAGACACGGUCCAGAGUCCGACGGGAGGCAGAAGUUGGGAAUAGUGGCCGAUGGGCGGAAGCCUGAACAAGCGAUGCCGCGCGGGUGAAGAAGGCCUUCGGGUUGUAAAACCCUUUUGUUGGGGAAGAAAAGCUGCGGGUGGAAACCAGCCUGUUGUGACGGUACCUAAAUAAGAAGCACCGGCUAACUACGUG
rnacentral:rRNA from 1 species